AACACGGACCAAGGAGUCUAGCAUGUGCGCGAGUCAUUGGGAAUUUAUAAACCCAAAGGCGCAAUGAAAGUGAACAGCGUCGGCCUCGCGUCGACCGCAGGGAAGACGACGUACGGUUCGACCGUGCGUCCGCACUCCCGAGGCGUUUCGAGAAAUGCCCCCGUUGCGAUUAUCGAGACGCACUGAGAGCGUACACGCUGGGACCCGAAAGAUGGUGAACUAUGCCUGGUCAGGUCGAAGUCAGGGGAAACCCUGAUGGAGGACCGAAGCGAUUCUGACGUGCAAAUCGAUCGUCUGAACUGGGUAUAGGGGCGAAAGACUAAUCGAACUAUCUAAUAGCUGGUUCCAUCCGAAGUUUC
rnacentral:rRNA from 1 species